GUGGUAGAGGACAGGCACCACUUCUGAGAGGUGUUUCGUGGGCCUCGUUUGAGAGGUAGAGGACAGGCACCACUUCUGAGAGGUGUUCGUGGGCUUCGUUUGAGAGGUAGAGGACAGGCACCACUUCUGAGAAGUGGCCUGGGGGCCUCAUUUGAAAGGUGUGGGGGAACGUGGUAGAGAACAAGCCCACAGACCAAGACAGCGGCAGCAACAGCAUAGAGUGUCCAAUGAAAUUCGGGCAAUAGUUGUAGACCAUGUCAUAAAUCAUGGCAUGAAAAUGACUGAGGCGGCUACAAUGAUACAACCAAACCUCAGAAGGUCAACCACGGCCUCAAUAAUCAGAACUUUCCGCAAUGAGAACCGAAUUGUGACCAGGCCAAAUAGUGGAGCAGACUGUGGUCGAUUUGGUUCUGGCCAGAAAUGAUAUUCGCCUUACAGAAAUUCACCAGCAUAUCUUGGAAAAUGAAGACAUGUUCAACAAUUUGGGAUCCAUAAGUUUGCAGACUAUUGCACGCAUACUGAAAAGGCACCAGGUAUCUAUAAAACAACUAUCAAAAGAAAUGCAGACAGAGUUAAGCAAAUGAGGACUGAGUAUGUUCAGAAGGUGAUGGAGCUGGAUGCUGAUGAUGACCAUCACAAAUUCAUAUAUUUGGAUGAGGCAGGUUUUAAUCUGGCCAAGACAAGGAGGAGAGGUCGGAAUUUCAUUGGCCAGCGGGCAACCAUCCAAGUACCUGGACAAGGUGGGGCCUACAUCACCAUGUGUGCGGCUAUAUCAGAAGAUGGUGUGGUGGGACGCAGACCUCAUAUUGGACCAUAUAAUGCAGCUCUCCUUGUCACCUCGGCAAGCUCGAUCAGGUUUGUAGAGCUGAAGGUGUGACCUAUGUCAUUGUGUGGGACAAUGUCAGGUUCCAUCAUGCUCAUGUAGUGCAAGCAUGGUUUCAGGCCCUUGCACAAUUUACCACCCUGCAUUUACCCCAUACUCUCCCUUCCUUAACCCGAUUGAGGAAUUUUUCUCCGCAUGGAGAUGGAAGGUUCAUGAUAGGCACCCUCAAGUCACUCUUCUCCAGGCCAUGGAUGACGCCUGCAAUGACAUCACAGCAGACCAGUGUCCGGCCUGGAUUCACCAUGCCCGAAGGUUUUUUCCAAGAUGUUUGGCUAAUGAAAACAUCCAUUGUGAUGUAGAUGAGAACCUGUGGCCAAAUCCACAACACAGAGUUGAUGACAAUGUAGAAGUACAGUAAUCACUCCUGUUUUGUUUCUUACAAUACAAGCAAGCAAGUUGAAGAACACUGCAUUUUAUAUUUUACAGUACUGUCUUUUCUUUUCUAUUUCAUAGCUAAUUUAUUUUUGCUUUGAUUCAAAUAAACCUAUGGUGUGAUUGUACUGUAGUGUUUUGCAUCAAUAUAUUACACACUUUGUUCAAUGAUUCCACUGUGUCUGUAGUAUUCUCUCUACUACUGCAGUACUUUUACAGAGAUGUAUUACAUGUAGUACCAUAAUGAAACCUGUAUCACCUAUUUUGUUCUACAAUAUUUAAUGAUUGUACGAACAAUGACACAGUGAAACUAUCGGUUGCUUGUGUGUGGGUGAUCUAUAGUUAUGUUUCAAUGGUAUUUCACAGUAAAUUUGUGUUUUGAACCAAUGAUUGUGCAAGUGCAAUAUUUCUUUAAAGAUGUGAAUGCGCAAGGCAAUGUUUUGGACAUUAGACUGUUUUUCAGUUCUGUGUCUAGAGUUUUGAAAAAUUACAUCAAGGUUCUGAAAAUAGUAGCAAAGUGAUUGAAAAAGCUGUAACUGUCGAUGUCUCCUUAAGAGUCUGUGAAUAAAACACCUACUGAAUGAA